AGCGCCACCAAACGAAAGAGGAUUGCAACACUUACAUAUGACGACGAUGAUGUUGAAGACAGCGAUGAAGAGGACAAAAAGACUGGACACAGAUCUCUUGGGAAGAAGAAGACAGCAGUUCGAAAAGAACAUAGUGAAGUUGAAUUGGAAACUAAAAAAAGGAAGAGACCCGGACUCCAAAGGAAAGAGCAGCAAUUGAUCGACACCUUUCAAAAUUUGUAGCAUUAAAGAAAGUUCCAAGGAAAGAUGACUGCGUUAAGUGUCGUAGUCAAGCAUCGCCAGACCUUGAAGACCGCACAUGGAGAGAUAUUCCACAAUGAAAUUAUUAAAAGAUAUGUAAUUGGGAAAAAAGCUUGAAGAUGAAAGAUAGAGGGAGAGACAUAGGGGGGAGAUAGAUGAAGGGAGAGAGGGAAUGGGAUGAGAGAGAGGGGAGAAAAGGAAUAGAGUUUGAAAGCACAGUUAUUUGGUAGGGUAUAUGUGGGUUCAUGUGUCAGGUUGUGGCGCAGCAAGUUUUUUUAGUGUGCGUUUUGAAGGUUGAAGUUUUUCAGGUGUUCUUGUAAGUUUUGAAUAAGAGUACUUUUGUUUGUCAAAAAUAAAUCAUAAAGUCAAGUCAGCUUUUAUUGUCAAAUAUGCUCUCUGUGUAAUGUACAGCACAGAUUAAAAUACUUUC